rnacentral:rRNA from 1 species
UACAGAGGCCCCGAGCGUUAAUCGGAAUCACUGGGCUUAAAGGGCGCGUAGGCGGUCCAGCAAGUGCUUUGUGAAAGCCCCCGGCUCAACCGGGGAACCGCGGGGCAUACUGCUGGUCUUGAGGCAGGUAAGGGUCGCCGGAACAGUAGGUGGAGCGGUGAAAUGCGUAGAUAUCGGGAGGAACACCAGUGGCGAAGGCGGCACUCUGGGCCGGUACUGACGCUGAGGAGCGAAAGCGUGGGGAGCGAACAGG